CUCUUCGGAGGUUCGUGGUAGGAGAGCGUUCUAAGGGCGGUGAAGUCAGACCGGAAGGACUGGUGGAGCGCUUAGAAGUGAGAAUGCCGGUAUGAGUAGCGAAAGAAGGGUGAGAAUCCCUUCCACCGAAUAUCUAAGGUUUCCUGAGGAAGGCUCGUCCGCUCAGGGUUAGUCGGGACCUAAGCCGAGGCCGAUAGGCGUAGGCGAUGGACAACAGGUAGAGAUUCCUGUACCAGUGCUAAUUGUUUAACCGAUGGGGUGACACAGAAGGAUAGGGAAUCGCACGAAUGGAAAUGUGCGUCCAAGCAGUGAGUGUGAGAAGUAGGCAAAUCCGCUUCUCGCGAAGCAUGAGCUGUGAUGGGGAAGGAAAUUAAGUACGGAAGUUCCUGAUUUCACGCUGUCAAGAAAAGCCUCUAGGAAGAGUAGUACUGCCCGUACCGCAAACCGACACAGGUAGAUGAGGAGAGAAUCCUAAGGUGAGCGAGAGAACUCUCGUUAAGGAACUCGGCAAAAUGACCCCGUAACUUCGGGAGAAGGGGUGCUCUAUUAGGGUGCAAGCCCGAGAGAGCCGCAGUGAAUAGGCCCAGGCGACUGUUUAGCAAAAACACAGGUCUCUGCAAAACCGUAAGGUGACGUAUAGGGGCUGACGCCUGCCCGGUGCUGGAAGGUUAAGAGGAGUGCUUAGCUUCGGCGAAGGUACGAAUUGAAGCCCCAGUAAACGGCGGCCGUAACUAUAACGGUCCUAAGGUAGCGAAAUUCCUUGUCGGGUAAGUUCCGACCCGCACGAAAGGCGCAACGAUCUGGGCACUGUCUCAACGAGAGACUCGGUGAAAUUAUAGUACCUGUGAAGAUGCAGGUUACCCGCGACAGGACGGAAAGACCCCGUGGAGCUUUACUGCAACCUGAUAUGGAAUGUUUGUACCGCUUGUACAGGAUAGGUAGGAGCCGAAGAGACGUGUGCGCUAGCAUACGAGGAGGCAAUGGUGGGAUACUACCCUGGCUGUAUGACCAUUCUAACCCGCCACGCUAAGCGCGUGGGGAGACAGUGUCAGGUGGGCAGUUUGACUGGGGCGGUCGCCUCCUAAAGAGUAACGGAGGCGCCCAAAGGUUCCCUCAGAAUGGAUGGAAAUCAUUCGCAGAGUGUAAAGGCACAAGGGAGCUUGACUGCGAGACUGACAAGUCGAGCAGGGACGAAAGUCGGGCUUAGUGAUCCGGUGGUUCCGCAUGGAAGGGCCAUCGCUCAACGGAUAAAAGCUACCCCGGGGAUAACAGGCUUAUCUCCCCCAAGAGUCCACAUCGACGGGGAGGUUUGGCACCUCGAUGUCGGCUCGUCGCAUCCUGGGGCUGUAGUCGGUCCCAAGGGUUGGGCUGUUCGCCCAUUAAAGCGGCACGCGAGCUGGGUUCAGAACGUCGUGAGACAGUUCGGUCCCUAUCCGUCGCGGGCGCAGGAAAUUUGAGAGGAGCUGUCCUUAGUACGAGAGGACCGGGAUGGACACACCGCUGGUGUACCAGUUGUUCCGCCAGGAGCAUCGCUGGGUAGCUAUGUGUGGCAGGGAUAAACGCUGAAAGCAUCUAAGCGUGAAGCCCCCCUCAAGAUGAGAUUUCCCAUUUCUUCGGAAAGUAAGAUCCCUGAAAGAUGAUCAGGUAGAUAGGUUUGGAGUGGAAGUGUAGCGAUACAUGGAGCGGACAAAUACUAAUCGAUCGAGGACUUAACCAAAA
rnacentral:rRNA from 1 species